rnacentral:lncRNA from 1 species
CCCACGCGCUCGGAAGAAAGGUGUGUACCACGAUGUAUGGUCCUUAUGGAUAGAAAGUGCCAGAUUUCAGGCCGUGGACAGCGCUAUGCCACCUUGUGGCAUUUUCCCCUGCCUUUUCUUUUUGUCUAUUUCUCUUUUUCCUUUCCCUCUCUCCCUCUUUCUUCUCUCUCCCUUUUUAAAAAUCAUGUCAUUUGUUUGUUUGUUUGUUUGUUUGUUUAAGGCAGCAUUUCUCAGUGUAGUUUGGUUCUCCUGGAACUUUCUCUCAGAGCGGGAUGGCCUCGAACUCAGAGAUCCUCCUGCUUCUGCCUCUCAAAUCCUGGGAUUAAAGGCGUGUGCCAUUAAGUCCGGCUGCAAUAAAAGUUCUUAACUGCUAAUUCAUCUCUCUAGACUAUACUUUAACGGAAGACAUUUUUAUUUGUGUAUGUGUAUAGCUGACGGAAUGGGAGGAUGUGGAGAGCAGAAGACAACGUGGAAGUCGGUUCUUUCCUUUCACCAUGUGGGCUCCUAACUCACAGCAUCAAACUUGGAGCAAGCAUCUUUACCUAUUGGUCCCUUUUGCUGGCCCGGUUUUUUUUCUUUUAAAAUGGUUUGGUGUAGGCUGGCCUCGAACUCACUACGUAACUAAGGAUGACCUUGAUUUUCCUGCCUCAAUCUCCUAUUGACUGGCAUUACAGACGUAGGCCACCACUCAAGGCUCUUAGUCGCUUCUAAGGUCUAGUGAACCUCCAAAGUGGUCCAGCAGAUUGCAGCCAGCCACCCGAGGCCGCCGGCCUUCAUUCAACACCCGCCGGCCGCGUUGGCUGCGGAGGG